GACGAACGCUGGCGGCAUGCCUAAUACAUGCAAGUCGAGCGAACAGAUGAAGUGCUUGCACUUCUGACGUUAGCGGCGAACGGGUGAGUAACACGUAAGGAAUCUACCUAUAAGCGGGGGAUAACAUUCGGAAACGGGUGCUAAUACCGCAUAAUAUCUUCUUCCGCAUGGAAGAAGAUUGAAAGACGGCUCUGCUGUCACUUAUAGAUGACCUUGCGGUGCAUUAGUUAGUUGGUGGGGUAAUGGCCUACCAAGACGAUGAUGCAUAGCCGACGUGAGAGGGUGAUGGGCCACAUUGGGGCUGGGACACGGCCGAAACUCCUACGGGAGGCAGCAGUAGGGAAUCUGCCGCAAUGGGCGAAAACCUGACGGAGCAAUGCCGCGUGAGUGAAGAAGGCCUUCGGGUCGUAAAACUCUGUUAUAAGAGAAGAACAAAUUGUAGAGUAACUGCUACAGUCUUGACGGUAUCUUAUCAGAAAGCCACGGCUAACUACGUGCCAGCCGCCGCAUAA
rnacentral:rRNA from 1 species